rfam:Lichtheimia corymbifera JMRC:FST:9682, FST 9682, WGS project CBTN01000000 data, contig: SCAF00012
GAUUCCAUGGUGUAGUUGGUUAUCACACCUGUCUAACACACAGGAGGGCAUGAGUUCGAACCUCAUUGGAAUCA